AUUGAACGCUGGCGGCAGGCCUAACACAUGCAAGUCGAGCGGAUGAAGGGAGCUUGCUCCUGGAUUCAGCGGCGGACGGGUGAGUAAUGCCUAGGAAUCUGCCUGGUAGUGGGGGAUAACGUCCGGAAACGGGCGCUAAUACCGCAUACGUCCUGCGGGAGAAAGUGGGGGAUCUUCGGACCUCACGCUAUCAGAUGAGCCUAGGUCGGAUUAGAUAGUUGGUGGGGUAAAGGCCUACCAAGGCGACGAUCCGUAACUGGUCUGAGAGGAUGAUCAGUCACCCUGGAACUGGGACACGGUCCAGACUCCUAAGGGAGGCAGCAGUGGGGUAUAUUGGACAGUGGGCGGAAGCCUGAUCCAGCCAUGCCGAGUGUGUGAAGAAGGUCUUCGGAUUGUAAAGCACUUUAAGUUGGGAGGAAGGGCAGUAAGUUGAUACCUUGCUGUAUUGACGGUACCAACAGAAUAAGCACCGGCUAACUUCGUG
rnacentral:rRNA from 1 species